AAGGCAGUCCAAAUAUCUUCAAAAGAGCACCCCCAGGUGAAACAAGCUUGACCACCAUGCCAUCAUCCAGUUCCCCUUGACUACCAAGUCAGCCAUGAAGAAAAUAAAAGACGAAAACACUCUUGUGUUCAUUGUAGAUGUCAAGGCCAACAAACACCAGAUCAAACAGUUUGUGAAGAAGCCCUAAGAUGUUGACGUGGCCAAGGUCAACACACUGAUCAGGCCCAAUGGAAAGAAGAAGGCAUAUGUUUGAUCAGCUCCUGACUAUGAUGCUUUGGAUGUUGCCAACAAAAUUGGGAUCAUCUAAACUGAGUCCAGGUGGCUAAAUCUAAAUAUAAAUUUUUUUAA